UACGUAGGGUGCAAGCGUUGUCCGGAAUUAUUGGGCGUAAAGAGCUCGUAGGCGGUUUGUCGCGUCUGCCGUGAAAGUCCGGGGCUCAACUCCGGAUCUGCGGUGGGUACGGGCAGACUAGAGUGAUGUAGGGGAGACUGGAAUUCCUGGUGUAGCGGUGAAAUGCGCAGAUAUCAGGAGGAACACCGAUGGCGAAGGCAGGUCUGCUGGGCCACUACUGACGCUGAGAAGCGGAAAGCAUGGGGAGCGAACAGG
rnacentral:rRNA from 1 species